rnacentral:tRNA from 1 species
AAGAUUUUAGUAUAAUAGUAAUAUAAAUAACUUUUAAUUAUUAAGAUAUAGGUUUAAAUCCUAUAAAUCUUA